rnacentral:rRNA from 1 species
AUUGAACGCUGGCGGCAUGCCUUACACAUGCAAGUCGAACGGCAGCACGGGAGCAAUCCUGGUGGCGAGUGGCGAACGGGUGAGUAAUAUAUCGGAACGUGCCCAGUCGUGGGGAUAACGUAGCGAAAGCUACGCUAAUACCGCAUACGAUCUAUGGAUGAAAGCGGGGGAUCGCAAGACCUCGCGCGAUUGGAGCGGCCGAUAUCAGAUUAGGUAGUUAGGUGAGGUAAAGGGCUCACCAAGCCGACGAGUCUGUAGCUGGUCUGAGAGGACGACCAGCCACACUGGGACUGAGACACGGCCCAGACUCCUAC